AGUGAACGCUGGCGGUAGACCUAACACAUGCAAGUCGAACGGCAGCACAGUAAGAGCUUGCUCUUACGGGUGGCGAGUGGCGGACGGGUGAGGAAUACAUCGGAAUCUACUUUUUCGUGGGGGAUAACGUAGGGAAACUUACGCUAAUACCGCAUACGACCUACGGGUGAAAGCAGGGGAUCUUCGGACCUUGCGCGAUUGAAUGAGCCGAUGUCGGAUUAGCUAGUUGGCGGGGUAAAGGCCCACCAAGGCGACGAUCCGUAGCUGGUCUGAGAGGAGGAUCAGCCACACUGGAACUGAGACACGGUCCAGAAUCCUACGGGAGGCAGCAGUGGGGAAUAUUGGACAAUGGGCGCAAGCCUGAUCCAGCCAUACCGCGUGGGUGAAGAAGGCCUUCGAGUUGUAAAGCCCUUUUGUUGGGAAAGAAAAGCAGCAGGUUAAUACCCCGCUGUUCUGACGGUACCCAAAGAAUGAGCACCGGCUAACUUCGU
rnacentral:rRNA from 1 species